rnacentral:rRNA from 1 species
GCUACGGGUGGCAGCAGUGAGGAAUAUUGGUCAAUGGGCGGGAGCCUGAACCAGCCAAGUCGCGUGAGGGAAGACGGUCCUAUGGAUUGUAAACCUCUUUAGGCGGGGAGCAAUGCCGGGCACGCGUGCCCGGAGGGAGAGUACCCGCAGAAUAAGCAUCGGCUAACUCCGUGCCAGCAGCCGCGGUAAUACGGAGGAUGCGAGCGUUAUCCGGAUUUAUUGGGUUUAAAGGGUGCGUAGGCGGAUUUUUAAGUCAGCGGUAAAAUGUCCGGGCUCAACCCGGGCCGGCCGUUGAAACUGGGGGCCUUGAGUGCACACAGGGAUGCCGGAAUUCAUGGUGUAGCGGUGAAAUGCUUAGAUAUCAUGAAGAACUCCGAUCGCGAAGGCAAGUGUCCGGGGUGCAACUGACGCUGAGGCUCGAAAGUGCGGGUAUCAAACAGGAUUAGAUACCCUGGUAGUC